GGUACCCAAUACCACCACCUCUUACUCUAUGCUAAAAUAGAGGUGUGGCUCUGAGCCCAGGCUCUCCUUGUGGCUCCUGUCUUGGUGACUGAAAGCUCUUCCUUCCCACCUCAGCAGCUUUGAAAUCUCCAAGUGCCCAGUUGGCACUUGCCAGAGCAGGACUGUAAUGAAGCUCAUUUUGGCCACAGAAUCAGCAGGUUUAGAAAAACUGACAAUGGCAAGUUGCUUCUCUGUCCUUGGGUUUAUCAUCAAUAGGAAACUUGUCUUUGCCCCAAUCUUCCUCAUUCCCACCUCCUGGCCCUCUUGACUUCGGCAGCCUCUUGGACAAGCCCAGGCCCACAGCUAUCACACUGAAUUACUGCUCUUUUGUUCCAAACGGCUUCCAAAUCUGACUACAGAAGAGUCACACUUGAGCCUGAAGGCUAUUGAGCACCAGUAAAAAGGAGAGGAGGAGG